AUAUUUGCAAAAUUAUUUGCCCCUUUGAAACUUAGUAAUUUUGGUUAAAGGUUAAAGGUCUUCAAAGAUAUUUACUUGAAACUUUACACAUGCACUUAGGGUCAUAAUUGGAGGGUCAUAAUUGUAUGUCACUGACCAAGUUCCAUAACUCUAUCUUGCAUUAAGGCUGAUUCAUAUCCCCUUUUCUACUUAGUCUCUUGGUUAAUGUUUACAUGCAAGUUUUACAUAUCCCAAUAACUAUUAAAGAUAUUUAUUUAAAACUUCACAUAUGCAUUUAGGGUCAUAAUUGUAGGUCACUGACAAAGAUCCAUAAUUCUAUCAUGCAUUUAGGCUGAUUUUUCUCCCCUUAUUCAACUUAGAAAUUCAUGGUAAAGUUUUGUUUGUAAGCUGUUAUCUCAAUAACUACUGAAGGGUUUGUGCCUUUUUUGGGACAAUUUUAUGCAUUCAUAAUAAUAAAGCAGUGAUUUACUUGAUAAAACAUCUUAAUAACAAGCCUUUGUACCUUGUCUGUCAAAUUUAUGUAUUCAUAGGUAAUUAGUAUUAUUAUACUCAAUAAAUCACCCUUGUGAUAUUACCUUCCGAAUAGUCAAGCCAAUACUGUAUAAUUAGACUCUCUCUAAGGCCUAUAACAUGAAUUUAUAAAAAAAAAUUAGCCCUUUUGUGAACUUAAAAAAUUUAAAUUAUCAAGGCUCUUUUACUAUCAAGCACUUAGAAUAGUCGAGCGUGCUGUCCUACCGACAGCUCUUGUUAUAUGUGUAAAAUUUCUCUAAUAGAAGUUUUCUUUCAGGUCUUGCACAUGUUAUAAGUGUCGUUUAUAUACUUAAAAUUUCUUUAAUACAAGUAUUAUUUCAGGUGACUAACGUUAUUUGUGUACAAUUUCUCUAUUUCAAGUAUUAUUUCAGGUGACUAACGUUAUUUGUGUACAAUUUCUCUAUUUCAAGUAUUAUUUCAGCUCUCUUAAAUGUGUUAUAAGGUUACAAUUUCUCUAUUUCCAUUAUUUCAGGUCUCUUACAUGAGUUAUAAGAGUACAAUUUCUCUAUUUUAAGUACCAUAUUAUUUCAGGUCUCACAAGGGUUAUAACUGUUGUUUAUGCUUGUACAAUGAUGUGCUUGAUGCUACGCGUACAAUUAAACAUCAUUGGUGGUUACAUGUUUGUGGAAAAUGUUAAGAAACAUCAAGGAAUGAGUGCAAAUGCAGCAAUGCAUGUGGCACCAACACCUGUACAAGAGAAGUACCUGGCCCUUAUAAGGGAAUUUUUUGAUAAAGGGGUUGUUAGUCUGGUGUCUAAAGUGAAAGAAGCAGUGUAUAAAGAAACUAGCAG